rnacentral:rRNA from 6 species
AAUGAAUUGACGGGGGCCCGCACAAGCGGUGGAGCAUGUGGUUUAAUUCGAUGCAACGCGAAGAACCUUACCUACUCUUGACAUCCAGAGAACUUAGCAGAGAUGCUUUGGUGCCUUCGGGAACUCUGAGACAGGUGCUGCAUGGCUGUCGUCAGCUCGUGUUGUGAAAUGUUGGGUUAAGUCCCGCAACGAGCGCAACCCU